GGUGUGGCCUCAUCAGAGCUGAGUACAGGAGAGAUAAUUGCCUCCCUGCUCCUGCUGACCACGUUAUAAAUACAGGCCAGGAUGGCAUUAGCCCUCUUGACCACCAAGGUCCAGGGCCAACCCUAGGGAGCUCAGGUGCAAGCAAUGUACCUAAGUAAGUAGAAGGGGUGGAGCCAGGAUCCACACCUUCCCAGACCUCAUUUAAGGGCUAGCAAUGGAAGUGAGGGUAUCUCUUACUGGAUAUCCCUGUCUACCUGAGGCCUUUCAAAGGAAAAGAAGAAUGAGAGAUCUGUAUAAUGUCACGGCAUCAUGCAAGGUUCUGAAAACAACUCUGUCAUUUGGUGCAACAAAGUCUACUGUUUCAAGUACUUCUAUAUGCAGUGAGGAACAUAAAACAGACAAAUAGUAUACAAAUGCAAUCAUAAAGGAAGUAGUGACUAUACAGUUUGUAUAUAAACAAAAUGCUACCAAGCAAAAUUUCCACGAACAACCAGUGACACCUGAUCUUCCCUAACCCUUUGCAGUACGUUUCUUGCAAACUGCAAGUUCCAUUACUUGUUACUCCCAACUUGUUUGCUGGGGGAGCAACAGCACUGAAACAAGCCAGAAUGAAUGUAAUACUACAGUUUUCAGAAAGGCAAGAAUGGAAUAUAGACUUAUGGUUGACUUCUGUUCCUUGACAGGGAUACUACAAAAAGCUGUUUCUCAUCUCACCCAGCUGUUGUGAAACUUACAAAGGUCUUUUAAGAACUUGGCUGUGAAAAUCAUGUUAUGCCAAAUCUAGGCCCCAGACCUGAAGUUAAGGAAAGAAUGACAGUAAGACCUCAAAUUCAUUGCUUCCUUAAUACUGCUACCAAUAGGUAAUACUUAAACGGACUCUUGAUCAUAAGCCGUCUCUACUAAAGUCUGAAUGAAUGUGUUUCUUGGCCACUGUAGUGGGCUAACAAGGUUUUGGUAGCAGUAGGAGCUGCAGGGAUGGCCGUGAGCUGGGCCCAGCACUGUCCCCUUCACCUACACGCCCAGUGACCUAAGAUCUGUCAAAAAAUUUAACAGAAGAUUCAUUGAAUCCCAGCAGCAGCUUAAGUCAAUGGUGAAGUUUCUCCUCCUAUUCCCCAAAGGGUAGGGAAGAACUGUAUGUUAGUAUUUUCUUUUUCAGUAUCCUACAGUGUUACUAACUGGUUAGCUCAGUCCUCUAAAAAGAGUUGUGGUUUACCUGGCUGAACAACUGAAGUGCCUGGGAAAUAUAAAUGAAAGUCUGAAACUGUACAGAAACAUACAGGUGUAAGAAUGGCACUUCAAAAGUUUAUUUAAGUUUCUAUGAGCUGUUUAGAAGGAUUAUAGGUACCUACAUCUCAUGGUGAUCACUGUAAGAUGACUUCAGCAAAGUAAUUUUGUUCUCUUGAAUAAAAAAAAGAAUGCUUACAGAUAUUAACAAAAGAAAUAC